rnacentral:rRNA from 1 species
GAUCAUUACUGAGGGGCUCCGACCCCGUCAAGAUACCACCCCUUGUCUUUGAGCACCUUCUGUUUCCUCGGCGGGCUCGCCCGCCAAUGGGGACCACAACAAAACCUUUUUGUAGUUGCAGUAAACGUCUGAAAAUUCAAUAUAAUCAAAACUUUCAACAACGGAUCUCUUGGUUCUGGCAUCGAUGAAGAACGCAGCGAAAUGCGAUAAGUAGUGUGAAUUGCAGAAUUCAGUGAAUCAUCGAAUCUUUGAACGCACAUUGCGCCCUUUGGUAUUCCUUAGGGCAUGCCUGUUCGAGCGUCAUCUCAACCCUCAAGCACUGCUUGGUGUUGGGCGUUUGUCCCGCCUCCGCGCGCGGACUCGCCUCAAAAGCAUUGGCGGCCUGUGUAUUGGCUUCGAGCGCAGCAGACCAGCGCGUCGUCGUUCCUCUCCGCACGGGCGUCCAUCAAGAACGCACCUCUUUUAUUUUGACCUCGGAUCAGGUAGGGAUACCCGCUGAACUUAAGCAUAUCAAUAAGCGGAGGAAAAGAAACCAACAGGGAUUGCCCUAGUAACGGCGAGUGAAGCGGCAAGAGCUCAAAUUUGAAAUCUGGCUCUUUCAGGGCCCGAGUUGUAAUUUGUAGAGGGCGCUUUGGCGUCGGCCACGGUCUAAGUUCCUUGGAACGGGACGUCACAGAGGGUGAGAACCCCGUACGUGGCUGCUGGCCUUCGCCGUGUAAAGCCCCUUCGACGAGUCGAGUUGUUUGGGAAUGCAGCUCUAAAUGGGAGGUAAAUUUCUUCUAAAGCUAAAUACUGGCCAGAGACCGAUAGCGCACAAGUAGAGUGAUCGAAAGAUGAAAAGCACUUUGGAAAGAGAGUCAAAAAGCACGUGAAAUUGUUGAAAGGGAAGCGCUUGCAGCCAGACUUGCCUGUAGUUGCUCAUCCGGGCUCUCGCCCGGUGCACUCUUCUGCGGGCAGGCCAGCAUCAGUCCGGGCGGUCGGAUAAAGGCCUCGGGAAUGUAGCUCCCCUCGGGGAGUGUUAUAGCCCGGGGUGUCAUGCGACCAGCCUGGACUGAGGUCCGCGC